GGAAACAUGGCAAUAUGCAGGCAGGCAUGCUGGAAAAGGCUCUGAGAGUCUGCAUCUUUGAUCUGACUGCAGCCAGGAGAGCCUGACUAGUGGACAGCUAGGAGGAGGGGCUCUUCCACACUGGGUGGAGCUUGAGCAUAGGAAGAGAACUCAAAGCCUACCUCCACAGUGAAGCACUUCCUCAACAAGAGCACACCUACUCCAAGGCCACACCUCCUAAUAGUGUCAUUCCCCAUGGGCCAAGAAGUUACACACAUGAGUCUACAGGGACCAAACCUAUUCAAACCACCACACUAGCCAAAGAAAUCAUUGAAAAUGAAUGAAAAGUUAGCUUUCUAUGCUAUUUUUUAUUUCUAAAAAUGAUCCCCUGUGGUCCUACUAGUUGUUGAAGAAGAAGAAGAAGAAGAAGAAGAAGAAGAAGAAGAAGAAGAAGAAGAAGAAGAAGAAGAAAGAGAGAGAGAGACAUUCUGUAGAGACAUUAAAUGAACAGGCACUGGAGUUCUUACCUGGAAAAAAA
rnacentral:lncRNA from 1 species